AGUGAACGCUGGCGGUAGGCCUAACACAUGCAAGUCGAACGGCAGCACAGUAAGAGCUUGCUCUUACGGGUGGCGAGUGGCGGACGGGUGAGGAAUACAUCGGAAUCUACUUUUUCGUGGGGGAUAACGUAGGGAAACUUACGCUAAUACCGCAUACGACCUACGGGUGAAAGCAGGGGAUCUUCGGACCUUGCGCGAUUGAAUGAGCCGAUGUCGGAUUAGCUAGUUGGCGGGGUAAAGGCCCACCAAGGCGACGAUCCGUAGCUGGUCUGAGAGGAUGAUCAGCCACACUGGAACUGAGACACGGUCCAGACUCCUACGGGAGGCAGCAGUGGGGAAUAGUGGACAAUGGGCGCAAGCAUGAUCCAGCCAUACCGCGUGGGUGAAGAAGGCCUUCGGGUUGUAAAGACCUUUUGUUGGGAAAGAAAAGCAUCAGGUUAAUACCCCGCUGUUCUGACGGUACCUAAAGAAUAAGCACCGGCUAACUUCGUG
rnacentral:rRNA from 1 species